rnacentral:misc_RNA from 1 species
ACAAUUUGCCGAUGCCUCGCAGAUAAAGCAGGAGUUGCUGCUGGUGUGCGACGCGGCUGGAAGAGUGCAGGCCGUAUCAUCCGCUUCAGCCGACUCCAUGCCGCUAAUCGCAAAUCUUGCCCAGAAACAUUUCGCCGAAGUCUUCGGGCACGACUCGGAGAUAACUGAGUGGCUCACCGA